UGCAAGUCGAGCGGUAGCGGGGAGUAGCUUGCUCUUUUGGCGGCGAGCGGGGGACGGGUGAGUAAUGUCUGGGAAACUGCCUGAUGGAGGGGGAUAACUACUGGAAACGGUAUCUAAUACCGCAUAACGUCGCAAGACCAAAGAGGGGGACCUUCGGGCCUCUUGCCAUCAUAUGUGCCCAGAUGGGAUUAUCUAGUAGGUGGGGUAACGGCUCACCUAGGCGACGAUCCCUAUCUGGUCUGAGAGGAUGACCACCCACACUGGAACUGACACACGGUCCACACUCCUACGGGAGGCAGCAGUGGGGAAUAUUGCACAAUGGGCGCAAGCCUGAUGCACCCAUGCCGCGUGUAUGAAGAAGGCCUUCGGGUUGUAAAGUACUUUCAGCGGGGAGGAAGGUGAUGAGGUUAAUAACCUUAUCAAUUGACGUUACCCGCAAAAGAAGCACCGGCUAACUCCGUGCCAGCACCCGCGGUAAUACGGAGGGUGCAAGCGUUAAUCGGAAUUACUGGGCGUAAAGCGCACGCAGGCGGUCUGUCAAGUCGGAUGUGAAAUCCCCGGGCUCAACCUGGGAACUGCAUUCGAAACUGGCAGGCUAGAGUCUUGUAGAGGGGGGUAGAAUUCCA
rnacentral:rRNA from 1 species